rnacentral:sRNA from 1 species
UCCGCCGAUCGAUUCGGGGCG